rnacentral:rRNA from 1 species
GACGAACCGUGCGAACGUUGUUCGGAUUCACUGGGCUUAAAGGGCGCGUAGGCGGCUUGCCAAGUCAGGGGUGAAAUCUUUCGGCUCAACCGGAAAAGUGCUUCUGAUACUGGCGGGCUGGAGGAGGGUAGGGGCGGAUGGAACUUCCGGUCGAGCGGUGAAAUGCGUAGAUAUCGGAAGGAACGCCGGUGGCGAAAGCGAUCCGCUGGACCCUUUCUGACGCUGAGGCGCGAAAGCCAGGGGAGCAAACGGG